GGAGAUGUGAUGAAGAAUUCUUCAUAUUGCUUUUGUGGUGUUUACUUUUGAAAAACUGGAUUGAGUUUGGGAACAUCCAGUGGGGAAGCAUUCGUCGUCCCUGGGAUCUGUCUCCUGUGUUGAGGGGAGUGACAGGCAGGGGAUCCAUCUCCUGCUACUGCUAACUAUGUGUAAACGCCUGGGUUUGGGGAUUUAUAAUGAGGUCUCAGGAGAUGGAGGUCUGCUAUUACUAAUUGCUAUCACUCAUUGGAACAGGAAGGUUGUUUUAGACGUGUGGUAGGGAAACUGCAAAGCACUGCAGAGCUGUAUGUGAAAUUAAGGAAAGUGGUGUUGUGUGCAGUUCCUUGUGCUUAAGUGAGUUUGAGCGCUAGCGACCCAAGGUGAAGGCCCUGACUCCGGCAAAGCAUGGGUGUGAUGUUCAGCUUGUGCUGAAUCCUGUUCCUGUCACCCCAGACCUUAUUUCCUCAUACAGGAACCAGGGCAGCUGCAGCCAUAGCACAGGCACGGGGUUUCUCCAGCCUCCUGAGCACAGCCAGUGCAGCAGGCUUACCUGUCCCUUCCCAGUCACAAGAAAAAUACACCAGUCGUCUCCGUGGUCUCCCUGUUUAUCAUCUCCGGCUGCGGGAGCCGGUACUGGCCAGGUGCAAGGACAAUGGCUGGCUAUUCAUUUCUCUGCACCAGCUGUUCUCCUCAGCAUGCACCGAGUCUGGGUCCUGCUGAUGACAACCCUGUUACGGCUGCUGCUGCUGCAGAAACCAGCAAGCUGGAGACAGCUUCUCAGAAGGGGGUCCGGCACGGCCAGCUGCCAGCACUCGGCUCAGCAAGAUCCCAGGAGAUUUUCCCAGCACCAUCUUCCCCUUGCUUAUUCAUGAUGUAACUUAUGCUUGGCUUUACCUCCUCCCUCUUGGGUACACAGGUCCUCCUCAGCUGCUCUCAUGGAGGCACGUCCAGGCAGUGAGUGUUACACCUUGAGGUCUCUCUCAAAGCCCCUGCUGCUGGGCACAGCAUCGAAUUAACAGAGUCUGCCUUGGAUUAUUCCACACAAAAGUUGAAAUAAAGGUCUCAAAAAGCUCAAAAAGGAGAAGAUAAGAGAACCCCCAAUGUACUUUCAUUACCAUAGCAAAAUACCAUUACUGUGAGGGCGUUCGUUACUCUGGGCCUGGCUGCUCCUUUGAAUGUCUGAGAUCAGUGAUUUUCAGGAGCAGACUCCUUUAGGUAACAAUUCAGUACACUUCCAGCACAAGAAAUAGUCAGGAUGACAUGGGCAGGAUGGGGAUGGGUAAUGGUGACAAAUAACUUAACACAAAGGUGGUACACAGAAGCAAACAGCAUUUCCACUUGGCGUAGCCAUCACUGCCAGACUGAACCUCCUCACCAUUCCUGUGACAGGCUGAAAGGUCUCUUUUGCUGUAAGAAGUAGAAAUCAUUUUUUCAGCUCACAAAGGACAAGCGGAUCGUGUAUCACCAGGAAACAUGCGUGAACUCAGUAUAAAUUAUAAUAAUGAAAUUGUAAUAUAUAUGCAAUUUCCAGCAAAAAAACCCAAACCUGCUACCAGUCAGGAAGGAGGAACUAGAAAAAAAAAAUUGAGAGCCAUUUUUCACUAUCUAUUUUGUCAUCAUUCCUUGAUUUCUCCAAGUGAGGCUGCGGUCUCUGGCGUAGAUCAUUAGGUUCCUUCCCUCUUUUCUGUAGUAUAGACCUCUGCACUACAGAAAAGAGAAGCUGGCAUUGGAACCUGUAGGGAUGCCAUGAGCUCUAGCAAUUCUAGAAAAUCCAUAGAGAUUUUACGGAGGAUAGCCCCAGGCACGUGAUCAAAAGACCAGAGAGAGUGAAGGUGAUGUUCAGUCUUUGGAAAAACUGAGAAUAGCUGAAGUUGCUUGGAAGAGGUGAGCUUUUUCCUAAGUUCCCUCAUCUCUAAUGAGCAAGAGUACUUCUGCCAGGUAUUGAGUUUAGAUUUAGAUUGCAGUGUUGUUCACUACUCUGUUGCAAGAGUCAAAUAGAUUUAACAUCCAGACCUGUAAAUCCUCUGCAGUGAAACAGGGAAAAAAAUGAAGUUACAGAAUGAAUACCCGUUAAUGGGAGUGUAUGCAUGAAUGGCCUGUAGGGUUUUCUCAUUAACUGCUGUGUAGAUUUAUAUUGUUGUCAUCGUAAUCUUUUUGUAUUAUGUUUCAUUAUAUUCAAAGAAUAUUGUUACAAUUAGAUUGAAAUUUGUCUUCAUGGGAGGCAUUGCCCUCACUGAAGGACAAGCAUGAUAUUCCUGGGCAACCUGUAAUGCGAUUUGCCACCUACAGCUGCCAGCUCACAUCCACUGGACCUUCAACUUGAUGCACAGGGCCAGCCCAGAAUCUGGGGAACAUUUAACAAGGUGAUUUCAAAACACCUACAUCUGCACUAAGCCUUCAGCUGAAAGACAAACAACCACCUUUGUUCCGGACUGAGGAAGGGAAAACCCAGCCCGCUCCCUUCCUGGUUCAGGAAGGGUCGAAAGCAGCUCCUUCUGCUGGGGUUCGUGCUCAUGCUGCUGAGAGCAGCUUGAAGAUGGCCCGCCUGGGGGGAUGUGUGCACACAUUGCAACUAGUAACACUCCAUAUAUCAGACUGCAAAAACAUGGACCGAUUAAUCAUCAUUUCACCUUGCCAAGUAAGUGACUACUACUACCCUCAUCUCACAUUCAGGAAAAACAAGUCAUCAAGAUAUCACAGAAAGAGCUGGGGCCAGUGCCAGGACUGGGAAACAGGUAUCCAAACUCUCCAGUUUGCUUUCACCCCACUUCUCUCAGGCAAUAAAACUUAUUUGCCAUGGAGUCAGACUCAAGCUGGCCUCUCUGGACCAGGGGAAGGCAGCAGCCAACCCGUCCUGAUGUCCCAUGGAUCAUUAUGGGCAGCAGGGCCCUGGUCUUUGCCAGGAUCACAUUGCAUUUCCUAAUUUUUGGCUUCUCGUAACUUGUCCUUUGUUUGUUGAGGUGAAUUGGAGUCUCAAGGAGCCCCAUGCUCUUUCUAGGUUCUAGGGGCUUCUGGUUGCUUCUAUGGUAGCAAA